GACGAACGCUGGCGGCGUGCUUAACACAUGCAAGUCGAACGAUGAAGCCGGAGCUUGCUCUGGUGAAUUAGUGGCGAACGGGUGAGUAACACGUGAGUAACCUGCCCUUGACUCUGGGAUAACUGCGGGAAACUGUAGCUAAUACCGGAUACGACCCUCGGAGGCAUCUCCUGGGGGUGGAAAGAAUUUCGGUCAAGGAUGGACUCGCGGCCUAUCAGCUAGCUGGUGAGGUAAAGGCUCACCAAGGCGACGACGGGUAGCCGGCCUGAGAGGGUGACCGGACACACUGGGACUGAGACACGGCCCAGACUCCUGCGGGAGGCAGCAGUGGGGAAUAUUGCACAAUGGGCGAAAGCCUGAUGCAGCAACGCCGCGGGAGGGAUGAAGGCCUUCGGGUUGUAAACCUCUGUUAGCGGGGAAGAAGCGAAAGUGACGGUACCUGCAGAAAAAGCACCGGCUAACUACGUGCCAGCAGCAGCCGCAG
rnacentral:rRNA from 1 species